GACAGAGGUGCCGAGCGUUAGGCGGAAUCACUGGGCUUAAAGCGUGUGUAGGCGGGCGAUCAAGUACCUUGUGAAAUCCCACGGCUCAACCGUGGAACCGCUGGGUAUACUGGUUGUCUUGAGCCGGCUAGGGGCGAGCGGAACAGACGGUGGGGCGGUGAAAUGCGUAGAUAUCGUCUGGAACGCCGAAGGUGAAAACAGCUCGCUGGGGCCGCGCUGACGCUGAGACACGAAAGCCAGGGGAGCGAACGGG
rnacentral:rRNA from 1 species